rnacentral:rRNA from 1 species
UACAGAGGUCUCGAGCGUUAGGCGGAAUCACUGGGCUUAAAGCGUGUGUAGGUGGAUCGUUAAGUACCUUGUGAAAUCCCACGGCUUAACCGUGGAACUGCUUGGUAUACUGGCGGUCUUGAGCCAGCUAGGGGCUACCGGAACAAAUGGUGGAGCGGUGAAAUGCGUAGAUAUGCGGAGGAACACCGAUGGCGAAGGCAAUCCCCUGGGCCAAAACUGACGCUCAGGCACGAAAGCGUGGGGAGCAAACAGG